CUGUGCUGUGCAAAGUUUGUUGCAGUGUUGUGUGUAUUGCUACACAGCCAUUAUUAUUAUGACCGCCUGUGCCACAACCUUGACACCUCCUAGAGGCUUGUAACAACUCGGUGUUCAAUUUUUAAAAGGAUCAUCACUAUAAAAUAAACAGGAGAAAGUCAGUAGAAUGUAAGAUUAUAACAGUGCCUUGGCAUUUAUUUAUGUGAAGCCAACAGUAAUUAUUAUCACUAUUAUUGUCUAGUUUAUUUCCAAAAGCCUUCUGAGUCAGGGCUUUGACUGUAACUGCUUAUUUAUCAAAAUAUAUUUAUUGCUGAUCCUAAGUAUUUUUAUUUUGUAUUUAUCUGGGUAAUGAAAAAAUAGAAUAUAUAUUUUCUUUCAUGUGAAAUUAUGAUCUUCCGUAUUAAUCAAAUAAUACCUUUUUAACAGUUAAUACAUUAUACUGCAAUGAAAUGUUUUGUAACAUUUUGAAAGUGAAUCUUAAUUUAAGACACAAAUGUUAAGCUUUUUUUAUUUGUUUGCUCCUCCCACAUGUAGGACUGCAGGGUUAAGGUUCUCUGAUGCAGUCUGAAGGCACAAAUGCACUGGAAGUGUCAAUAUCCUAGAGACAGCUAGAGUAUGCUAGAGACAAGUGUUGUCUUUUCAGUGGGGGGUUUUGCAGCUGACAUCAAGUUCAAAUGAUGAAAAAAGUUAAUGUAAGUAAUUGCAAACUGAUCAGGUAAUUAAGCUAGUGCCAUACAGUUGUUAAGCGUGUGGAC